AUACGUAGGGGGCGAGCGUUGUCCGGAAUGAUUGGGCGUAAAGGGCGCGUAGGCGGCCCGGUAAGUCUGGAGUGAAAGUCCUGUUUUUAAGUUGGGAAUUGCUUUGGAUACUGUCGGGCUUGAGUGCAGGAGAGGUAAGUGGAAUUCCCAGUGUAGCGGUGAAAUGCGUAGAGAUUGGGAGGAACACCAGUGGCGAAGGCGACUUACUGGACUGUAACUGACGCUGAGGCGCGAAAGUGUGGGGAGCAAACAGGAUUAGAUACCCUGGUAGUCCACACUGUAAACGAUGAAUGCUAGGUGUAGGGGGUAUCGACCCCUUCUGUGCCGCAGUCAACACAAUAAGCAUUCCGCCUGGGGAGUACGGCCGCAAGGUUGAAACUUAAAGGAAUUGACGGGG
rnacentral:rRNA from 1 species